CGUGAAUCGCAGGAGAGCCAGGGGGUUCCAUGCCCAAACCCUAGCCAGCAAAAAUCAAGCAAUUGAGAAGCCAAAUCGACUCCAAAUUGAAAUCUAAGCUUGGAUUAGUGAUCACUUCAGUGAAAGGAUCAUAAGUUUGUCGCCUAACGAGCUAGGUGGAGGCUUGGGAAAGAAGCGGUCAAACGAAUCAAGCACGAGAAGAAAAGCAUAUUCGGAUGCGAGGUAAGUGGAGCUUACGCCCCUUUACAUUGCUUGCAAAAUUACUUAAUUUCAAGUAUUGCAUAUGAAUGCUACUAAGUGUUGGUAUACAAUGUUCCGACACGAUUCAAUGAGAGUCGGAACAAGGGAAAAUGGUAAGAAAUCAUGAAUCAUGGUAAAAGGAGUAAAAAGGUAAAUUAGUCAUGUAAUGACGAACAAAUAAAAACGGUUUUAAGUAAAACAAGUUAAAGGAAAACCGGGUUAGGUUUAAAGGGAUGAAAUGGUAACUAAGUACCAUCUCAUAUGGAUAAGUGGCAAAUUAGACUAAAUGGGUCAAAUGGCGUUGUUAGCACCAUUUGACAAUUACAUUUGACAAUCGCUUGUUGAGUUUUGUAAUCACAGGAAAUAACAUAAGUAUGCGUUGCUUAAACUAGAAAGCUUUAAAGCAAAAGUUAUGUAAACGGGUCAAUACCUUGACCCGAGCCAGGUACACUUUGGGAUGCCGGAAGACGAUCAAGCUCAACGAAGAACCGAACACACUAUAGAUACACGCUUCCGCACUUUGCUAUGUUGUAAAUUUUAAACAACGAAUUCAACCACGUGAUGUAGAAUAACCUAUGAUUUGUAAAAGUUUUAGUAAACCCGUA